UUAAGUUCAGCGGGUAGUCCUACCUGAUUUGAGAUCGAACGGUCAGAAAGCUGUCUUCGCUGAGGAGAGACGUUUAUAAGCUCCAGCGAACCUCUGUUGCCAAAGGUUGCUCGGCGGACAGCCACAAGCGUAGAUAGUUAUCACACCUGCGAUGCCACCAAACACUGGUAAGCUGAUCCAUUUGAGAGGAGCUGACCACA
rnacentral:misc_RNA from 1 species